CCUACGGGUGGCAGCAGUGCGGAAUAUUGGUCAAUGGCCGGAAGGCUGAACCAGCCAUGCCGCGUGAAGGUCAGUGCACUAUGGGCGGUAAACUUCUUUUGUGCGGGAGCAAUCAUGGUCACGUGUGGCCAGACGAGAGUACCGUACGAGUAAGCAUCGGCUAACUCCGUGCAAGCAGCGGCGGUAAUACGGGGGAUGCAAGCGUGAUCCGGACUUAUUGGGUUUAAAGGGUGCGUAGGCUGUGAGGUAAGUCAGCGGUGAAAUUCCCCCGCUCAACGGGGUGAAGUGCCAUUGAUACUGCCUUGCUGGAAUGCGGAUGCCGUGGGAGGAAUGUGUGGUGUAGCGGUGAAAUGCAUAGAUAUCACACAGAACACCGAUUGCGAAGGCAUCUCACGAAUCCGCGAUUGACGCUGAUGCACGAAAGCGUGGGUAUCAAACAGGAUUAGAUACCCGGGUAGUC
rnacentral:rRNA from 1 species